AUUGAACGCUGGCGGCAUGCCUUACACAUGCAAGUCGAACGGCAUCGCGGGAAAGCUUGCUUUCCUGGCGGCGAGUGGCGCACGGGUGAGUAACACAUCGGAACGUACCGGCUAGUGGGGGAUAACCCGUCGAAAGACGGGCUAAUACCGCAUACGCUCCUCGGAGGAAAGCAGGGGACCUUUGGGCCUUGCGCUAGCCGAGCGGCCGAUGUCCGAUUAGCUAGUUGGUGGGGUAAAGGCCUACCAAGGCGACGAUCGGUAGCGGGUCUGAGAGGACGAUCCGCCACACUGGGACUGAGACACGGCCCAGACUCCUACGGGAGGCAGCAGUGGGGAAUCUUGGACAAUGGGGGCAACCCUGAUCCAGCAAUGCCGCGUGGGUGAAGAAGGCCUUCGGGUUGUAAAGCCCUUUCGGCAGGGAAGAAAUCGGCGGGGCGAAUAACCCUGCUGGAUGACGGUACCUGCAGAAGAAGCACCGGCUAACUACGUG
rnacentral:rRNA from 1 species